rnacentral:rRNA from 1 species
AACGAACGCUGGCGGCAUGCCUAACACAUGCAAGUCGAACGAGAUCUUCGGGUCUAGUGGCGCACGGGUGCGUAACGCGUGGGAACCUGCCCUUUGGUUCGGAAUAACAGUUGGAAACGACUGCUAAUACCGGAUGAUGACGAAAGUCCAAAGAUUUAUCGCCAGAGGAUGAGCCCGCGUAGGAUUCGCUAGUUGGUGUGGUAAAGGCGCACCAAGGCGACGAUCCUUAGCUGGUCUGAGAGGAUGAUCAGCCACACUGGGACUGAGACACGGCCCAGACUCCUACGGGAGGCAGCAGUGGGGAAUAUUGGACAAUGGGCGAAAGCCUGAUCCAGCAAUGCCGCGUGAGUGAUGAAGGCCUUAGGGUUGUAAAGCUCUUUUACCCGGGAUGAUAAUGACAGUACCGGGAGAAUAAGCUCCGGCUAACUCCGUGCCAGCAGCCGCGGUAA